AGCCUGAUGCAGCAAUACGCGCGUGUGUGAAGAAGGCCUGAGGGUUGUAAAGCACUUUCACUGGGGAGGAAUACCGGCUGGUUAAUACCCGGUCGCUUGACAUUACCCAGACAAGAAGCACCGGCUAACUCCGUGCCAGCAGCCGCGGUAAUACGGAGGGUGCAAGCGUUAAUCGGAAUUACUGGGCGUAAAGCGUGCGUAGGUGGCGCGUUAAGUCAGACGUGAAAGCCCCGGGCUUAACCUGGGAACGGCAUUUGAAACUGGCGAGCUAGAGUUGAGUAGAGGGGAGUGGAAUUUCAGGUGUAGCGGUGAAAUGCGUAGAGAUCUGAAGGAACACCAGUGGCGAAGGCGGCUGCCUGGACUCAAACUGACGCUGAAGUACGAAAGCCUGGGUAGCAAA
rnacentral:rRNA from 1 species